CCUACGGGGGGCAGCAGUGAGGAAUCUUUGUCAAUGGGCGCGAGCCUGAACCAGCCAAGUCGCGUGAGGGAAGACGGUCCUAUGGAUUGUAAACCUCUUUUGUCGGGGAGCAAAAGACGCCACGCGUGGCGUUCCGAGAGUCCCCGAAGAAAAAGCAUCGGCUAACUCCGUGCCAGCAGCCGCGGUAAUACGGAGGAUGCGAGCGUUAUCCGGAUUUAUUGGGGGUAAAGGGUGCGCAGGCGGAAGAUGAAGUCAGCGGUAAAAUUGAGAGGCUCAACCUCUUCGAGCCGUUGAAACUGGUUAUCUUGAGUGAGCGAGAGGUAUGCGGAAUGCGUGGUGUAGCGGUGAAAUGCAUAGAUAUCACGCAGAACUCCGAUUGCGAAGGCAGCAUACCGGCGCUCAACUGACGCUCAUGCACGAAAGUGUGGGUAUCGAACAGGAUUAGAUACCCUAGUAGUC
rnacentral:rRNA from 1 species